rnacentral:rRNA from 1 species
UACGUAGGUGGCAAGCGUUAUCCGGAUUUACUGGGUGUAAAGGGCGUGUAGGCGGGACUGUAAGUCAGGCGUGAAAAUUAUGGGCUCAACCCAUAACCUGCGUUUGAAACUAUAGUUCUUGAGUGUCGGAGAGGUAAUCGGAAUUCCGUGUGUAGCGGUGAAAUGCGUAGAUAUACGGAGGAACACCAGUGGCGAAGGCGGAUUACUGGACGAUAACUGACGCUGAGGCGCGAAAGCGUGGGGAGCAAACAGG